UACGUAGGGUGCGAGCGUUGUCCGGAAUUAUUGGGCGUAAAGGGCUCGUAGGCGGUUUGUCGCGUCGGGAGUGAAAACCAGGUGCUUAACACCUGGCUUGCUUUCGAUACGGGCAGACUAGAGGUAUUCAGGGGAGAACGGAAUUCCUGGUGUAGCGGUGAAAUGCGCAGAUAUCAGGAGGAACACCGGUGGCGAAGGCGGUUCUCUGGGCAUGUCCUGACGCUGAGGAGCGAAAGUGUGGGGAGCGAACAGG
rnacentral:rRNA from 1 species